GUCGAGUUCCUUGCUGCGCGCUGAGUUUUCUGUCGUGCCCCUGGUUCCCGCGUGGAGCUCGUGAGCAUCUCCCUGUGCUCCUUUUGUCGCGACAGCUGUCGUGGCCGUAGGGCAGUCCGCACCAUAAGAGUUCACCCGACCGCAGUCUGUCCCCAGUCCACGCCAUAAAAAUCGCUCGGCCACGGUUCCGUCAAAUUGCGAAGCUCCCUGCCGUGCGCUUGCCAACUCGAAUUUCGCUAGUCGACGUUCUCUAACCCGUGUGCCAGUCGGCGUCGUGGAGUUUUUGUUUGAUCAGCUCGUCGUCGCGUCGUUUGCCGUCGAGUCGUCAAACACGUCAUCCUCUGCUCAAACCCCACCUCACCAGCUCGCUCCCGACUUCAGCUGAAAGUCGUCGUCGUUCCGCGCGUCAGCAAGAAAUCUCAAGAAUCAGAUGAAGACGAAGCUAGCAGCGCGAUAUUCCCCAAGCGCUCGACAAAUUGCCUGGAUCGGAAAAUCGCUACCGAUCUCGCAGAUUCGUGUCAGCUGCUGAAGCGGUAAGCUGAUGAAUUAUUCAGAAUAGUUCAAUCGAUGAAUAAAUAAAUUGCUAGUGCGAUACUUAUUAGGUGCUCGAUAAAUUGCGUAAGUCACGAAACUCCCGUCGACUUCGCAGUUCUUGCGAUUAUCGAGCCAGGUUCAGUUAUAGCGAGUUAUCUCGCUAUUCCGAUCAAGUAGUUAAAUUAGUGUACCGAGUAGAAUAUGAGUAGGCAUGUGUGUUAAUAAAAUAUUUUAAUCACUUAUAAAGAUGUAGUAUAAUUUAUAAAGCAAGAGAUAAGUUUAGAAUUCAAUUAAUUAAGUAGCUGAUAAGUUGUGUUUAGGCUAAUCAUGUUUAAAGUGUAUGAUGUGUUGUUCGUGAUGUUUGCGUUAGGUUCGUUUAAUCUAGAAAACCGUGAUUAUUAAGCUUAGUCAUACGUCGAUAGCUAGUGUUUUCGUAUAAAAUAGUACGACGCUUCGUCACUAAGUAUUUAAUUCUUGUCGGCGUAGCACUAUUUAGGUUCGUAAUAUUUUCGUUUAUAUGCAUUCAUGUGCAUAAUGCAUUUCAUUCAGGUACGUUAAUUAAUCGCGUGAUGCGGAAGACGAGCCAAGUCGACCCCAAGCGUGGGCUUCUUCGCAAGGCGAUGCUAAUGGACAAACCUGAAGAUGGUCGUCAAGUGCUCAUCGACUAACAACACUAACCUAGUGUUACUCAGGCAAGCCCCGGUGCAUUUGCCACCUUCCUUGAUGUUUUUAAAAUCUUUCUCACUUGCUUGCUGCAUUAGGUGAUAGGAGUUGAUUGCUAAAACAAUUCCUGCAUUACCUUCCUUGAAUUUGAUUACCUUCCUUGAUCACCCGUUUUACAAAAGAUUUUUGAUGCUUAGCAUUGCUUUAGAAAACAAAAUGUUUUGUUUUUACAAAAGAUGAUGUGGCAAAGUGGGUGGGAUGUUUUCGAAAAUAAAACUUGAUGGUGAAUCCAUCACGGCCGUGAUGGAUUCAACAUCGGAAAAGAUGUACCUCUGCCAGGUACCAAGUUUUUGGGUUGAAAAGAUUAAGCUGAGACCGGGCGGGUGACUUGCACGAGAAAGGAGUCUCGGUGUAGUGUCUCCGUCUGAGUCGAUUAAGGACCUUGUCGAUGUAGGCUUGAUGAUCGAGGACCCUUUAACUGGUCACAUGCCUCGUCAUGGGUAAGCCUUGCCUCGGGCAGACUAAGGCCGGAAUAAGAUAACACGAAAUGGGCGUGGAGCGGUGGCGAGAGUAGCGUGUACCCUCCGUGGCAAGAGGCUGGACGGUGGUGUAUCUGUGCUCUCGGUUUGCGUGAACCUGAUCCGGUCUUAAGAACCCCGGUGGCGGAUUGACAUAUGCAAGGGUUAAGUGCUACAUAUGUCGUGUGAUUGGAGAUCCUCAGCUGAGUAUAAUCGAUUCGGAUCGCCGUACCUUCGCGGUUAUGAAGACUUGGUCACUACCCUACACGUAGCAUUCCACUAAAGAUGAUGGGUUUGUUAAGAAAUUGGCUAGUGCAGGUCAAGUGAUUGAACUAGGGUAGAAAGAACUCUAGUGCAGGUAAUUUUACUUAACCUGACAAGUAAAACUGGAUUUUAAGGAUCCACUUUAGUAAGCUUUUCUGCAAAACAGAGUCUUUGAUUCUUGAUAAGCCAUACCUUGAAUCCCUCUAGCCAGCAUACCCUUGAGAGUCUUUUCCUUAGUCGGGUAAGUCUUGCUGAGUAAUUCCAUACUCAGGGUUUUAUUCCCUGUUGUUUUUCAGGUUCUAACUUUGUGCUGUUGUUGAUGGUGUUAAGUGCCGGUGGGCUCGGCCUUCUUAUAGGUCUAAGUAACCCUUCUAUACUUCUUAUUGAGGAUGGUCACUUAAGCUAGCAUAUAUUUCAAACUUAUACUUUUGUAAUCACUCCGAUAAAAUAAUAUAAAAUUUUUGUAACUUGUAAAAUUUGGUAGUAAGAUUUCCGCUGCAAUAAUAUUGGUGUGUGUGAUUUGUGUUACUUAAUCUCGCGGUUCUGGUUGAAAGUGGUUUAUCCGAUGUCCUUGGGGCAAUCGGACAGAUCCUGUUGAGUUAUCUGGUGCACAUGCAUGGUUGACUGAGGUCUUUGGGACAAGGACAGGUGCAUGUGGGCCCAAUAACUUGGAGGUUCUGCCACAGGCUGGUAUCGGAGCUGGAUUAAGUAUCUACGGUCACAUACGUAUUUUCAAAACAAAAGUUUUGGUUUUGAAAAACCUAUUUUCAACUAAACACAUUGUUUGGCUUUGAAAAACAGUUUUGAAAAACUAUAAUGCUAGCGACAUCCUCUAUUAAGCCCUAAAGUAAGGACUAUCAGGUGGCUUAGUUGAAAACCAUAACCCACAACCGGGUGGGUAUUGCAUACAUGUGUAGUGUUAUUUUUGAGGCCAUUCAGUUUUGAAUGGAUCGACGCUCAAGGUAAGGUGAGAUGUGAGAGCAUGACCGAACAACCGUCGGUCUAGGGAAGAGUGUAAAAAGCGCUUGAUUAUAUACAUGUUACACAUGUAUAUACGAAAGCUGCGAUGUGGAGUAAUUACUUUUUCUGGAAUUCAGUACCCCAUGGAUGUGUAUGGGUAUACAGACAUGGGAAUACUGAGAAAUGUAAUGUACUUGUAACGACGCACCUACGCUCAGGUAAGAAGGUGAGUUACCAUAAUGAGUUGCCCUAUGGUUAAAGUGUGGCAACAGCGCCUAUGCGUGGCUCGGCGCUUAAUGAUGAGCUGGCCUCCAUAUAGCAAUAUAUGGAGUAUAAACUGUGAUAAACUGUCAUGUGUGAACUGCAUCAUUGGGAAUUGGGCUGUGAUGGAUUUUUCUGCAGGUACACUAACCUCGAAAACGUAUGUGUAGUUGACGACUAGCAAAAUACCGUAAGAGCUAUACGUAUGCCACCGAUAUAGAACGCUAUUGCCACAUUUGGUUGGCAAAAUUAGUGAGGACGUGUAGGACGAGCAUGCAUCCUGAUUGUUGCAUCAUGUUUGUCACCCAUACACCCAAAAUGCUUCUCUCAUCUUUAUUCCAGUAACCAUUGAUUGUAGAUAAUAUGGUGUAAUGCUGAAUUAUGAACUUCGAUGAAAUAGGUGUCCUCCAUUCUUUAGGUGACCUCUUAGGGUGCUUUAUAUGUGCUCUUGUGCUUAAUGUGUCGAUAGAAGGUUAGAGACUUGAUUGCCUAAACCCAAAACUAGGCCAUAUUCUUAUUUAGUGAACCAUGCCCAAGUUUGAAUUGUCCAUUAUUACUCCAUGACAAAGCCCAUACAAAUAAAUGCGUAGACAAUUUCCUUAUUGGACAUAAAAUGUACCUAAGCUUAAAACAAGAAUCUCGAGUCAUGUUUCCUUCUAAAACCAUUCCCUUGUUCGAUUUGUGCAAGCUGAUGUCUCUAUUCCAGUUUGCCUAUUUUUAAAGGAUCGCCAUGUUGUUUUAUGAACCUAACCUAGGAAAGGAAUGCCCAAUAGAUUUCUUGAAUUUGAUGUCUUUGGUUUCCCCGUAUCUAUCGAAGGCAUAUCAACUUAAUCCUUGACCUUGUAAUCUCUUUGAUGGGCAUAGAAUUAUGCUUGGGGCUGAAUUAACAGUCUUCCAUCAUACUCCUUUCAUCAAGUUUAGGUUAUGGCCAUGUCUUGUUCAUUUCCGUGGGCUAUAAUCUCUUUGACUCUCUACUUGUAACCCUUCUUACAGGUGGAGUAACUCUUUGUAUAUUGUCAUCCUUGACUAGUCUAUUUGUGUCAUGUGAGAUUUCUUAUUGGUUACGUCUGGUAUUGGCGUUAUGACUAAAAUUGAUGAUGUCGCGAUAAAACCGAGGGCCUCCUGUGGAUGCAUACACAUGGUUGUGCUACUCGGUACACGCUAGUAUCACAGUUAGUAGUCAUAAUCCAUUAUGAGAUUAUAUUAAUAAGUUAUCUCUACACAAAUUGUUCUUACCACGUGAGAUUCAUUAUUGGUGCCAGUUUUGUAAUGGUGUCAUGGUUAAGGACUUAUGGUACCGCGGCGAAACUAAGAGCCUCCUGUGAAUGCGCACACAGGAUUUUGCUGCUUGGCGCAUGCCGGUAUCGAAGUCUCUAGUCAUGAUCCGUUAUGGAAUUACACUGAUGUGUUAUCUUCCGUGGACUUUCCCUUAAAACGAUUUCGGUGUUGUUUGUCGAAGUGACCAAGCAACAUCUAUCAUCUUUGUUGGAUCAAAAGGGCAUACCACGUUCAUGUGUGGUCUCUUUUCCCUUGAUCUUGGUAGUGACUCCUUAUACAAGUUCCCUUUACGUCCUUUUUGUAAAGGUGAAGCCUUGGAGCUUUUAGUGUUGAGAGACAACUAAUUAGCUCUCAAAAUGGAGAUCUGUUUCCCCUGCUGCUGAAAUGCAGGAGUUUGUUCAUUCGCUCUCUCAUUUAGUCCAUAUAUUCCCUAACCAAGUCUGUUCAUCUCGCAUGAAGAAACGGAUGAACAACCUGACCAAAUGAAUUUCUAAUCACAUACAUGAUCUCGUGUUAACCAGAGUGAACUCUCAACCUUUGGCUUACAGAUGGUACUGAGAGGACUUACCCAAUGUCAAAAGAACUUUAACAAGUUGGUUUUACUAACUUGUAACUGCCCCAUGAACAAAGGCUGAGUUUAGAGAUCGUUUUGUCGAGUUAUCUAAACUCACUUUGGUUCAAACCAUCCUAAAGAAAGUACUUACACGGAUCAAGUUAAGUCAACCAAUAACAACCUAAUUAUCGCUCUAGUCACGCCUCGACCGCCUCACGUGUGCUUUUUCAGCGUGUGUGAUCAUGUCGAUCCAUGUCUAGUGCUUGCUAAAAUGGAUUGGUUGCAAAGACAACAUCUACAGAUCCCUCCACUGGUGAUUCUCUCGAAUCUAUAUCACCUUUCGGGGACAUGGAUUUUCUGGCUAGCCACGGGUCAACUGUGAUGUUAUUCGACAUUCACACCCGUCUCCUGUGCUAUGGAUUUACGGUAACCACUUGUUGGUAAACCUCUUUCUGUGUGUUUUACCCAAGAGGUUGCAUCUGAUUCUGUUUGGGGAAGAUCGCGUAAUUGCCACUUGCCCAAUAGACUCAGAUAGUACAGUGUCAUCAGAGAAAGCCAACUGCACCCAUGGAACCUUAUGUGUUCCUCUGGCAGAUAUUGUUUCUAUUGGUGGACAUUUCUGAAUUAGCCUAAGACGAUACAUGUUAUGUCCACUAGAGAAACCUCAUCCUGAGACACUUGUCUUCGCUCAGAACUGCCUUAUGAUUACCGCUGAUAUGGACGUGGGUUACAUGCUUGUCUACUCUUGAAAGUCUUUCGCUCCGAAUCUCGGGACGAGAUUCUUUUAAGGGGGGAGGGCUGUAACACCCAAGGUGUUUAUAUUUCGCUCGACAACGAGUACGGAUUUAAGCACGUAAUAUCAGUGGAUAAACGGACGCUAAAUUUUAAUUAUUUUCGUCUAUUGCGAUUUUUAUAUCGCAUCUGUACGUUUGUCGCGAAUGCGACAUCGUUUUAUUUUUAUCCAUCCGGGCCUGUCCUAAAUUUUCGUGAUGUUCCGAAGAUAGUCGUUCCGAAAAUCGAUGCCUCCGGUGAUUAUUUAAAAUUCAUCGCUCACGCGAAUACGAGUUCGGAAGCUCGACUCACUCUAUGAUUUUGUCCGAAACAAGAUUUAUUAGAAUUCGGCGACAAAAGUUUUAAUGCAAAAUUAAAUCGGACCAUACUCAGAAUCUAAGAAAAACUAGGCAUAGAAUUAUAAACUGAGCCGUUUUCUAGUUUAACCUGAUAUCGUUUAGCUUCAUCCGGAAACAUCAGGCUAAAACUCGAACCUUGAUAAUUUAAUCUAUUCCUUACCAGAUAAAUUUUUGUCUGGCUUCUAAGUAAACCAAAGCUGAUUACAAUAUUGAAGUUGAAAUCAGUUCAAUCCGGGUUGUCGUUUCUCGGCCGGAUUCAAAUCUUCAAAUAUAAAUAAAGGGUAAGAAUUCAUCUGCCACUAGAAAUAUUCAUCGGAUCCAAUGGAAUACAGUCCGAAAUACUGUUGUUCACAUCAUUCUAAUUUGUUCUGGUUACGUCUCGCCUCGAUCUAAAAAUCUUGGCUCAAAAAUAUCUGCGAAAUUCUUUAAAGAAAUUAAAAAGAAGAAAACAGAAAAAUCUAAAAAUAAAAAUCUCAAUCGGCUCUAUCCCCAGCCGCCCCCGCUGCUGAUUUGCUUCUAGCGCCUUCUCUCUCCUUAUCCCUUCACGCGCAGUGAGCAGAUUUUUCCUUCAGUGGCGGCCUUAUCCCCUGGUCGCACUUCCUUCUUCUUGGCACAGCCAUUACCGCCCGGCUCUCUGGUGCUAAGCCGCUCGGCCUCUAGCUCGUCGAAUCCCUUCCAUGUCUCGCGCUCGAGCUCCUCCUGCCUCACGUACUCCGCCCGGCGCCCGGCGCUCAGACCGCACCCUCUUCAACUCGCCAGCGCGUCCUCCCAUGCCCAGUAGCCUGCGCUGGCCGAGCUCUCCUAUGGAGCGUCAUCUUCCUGCUCCCGGUUUUGGAGCUUCCAUGGCGCCGUGGUUUCCCAUCUCCCUUUCAUCCCCUUGUUCCCUACGCCCAGGUUCCAUUUUCCCCAAGCGUGGAGUCCUGCGCGUCCAGCCGUCGAAGCCCCAGCUUGGCUCCAUCUCCCUGUUCUUGAUUUCUCCCUCUCUCUUUCCCUCAAUCGUCGCUCCCUGCUUGCUCCCGUCGGCGUCGCGCCCUGCCUCUCCUACGCGCGUGGCCAGGGCUCGGGGUCCUUCGCUGGCUGCUGCAGCGGUGUCCAUCUCCCUGUUGUGAGUCUCCCUGGCAACUGCGGCGCCCCGGUUUCUGUUCGCCAUGGCGCACGCUCUGCUCGCCGUCGCAAGCCGCGGCUCUCUCCAGCUCGCUCGGUUCUCCCAUGGCGCUCUUCUUUCCCUGCGCCCUGGACCUUCCCAGCUUGGAUUUCCCUCUCCCAUGGCGUUCGGCUGCUCGGCGCCCAACUCCUGUGCUCGCGCCGUCGUGCUGCUGCUCGCCCAUACCGCGACCUCGCCGAUCCGUGUCCUCUGCCCCAGCUCGCGGAGCUUCCUCUCCCAUGGCCGGUGAUGCUUCAGCCUCCUGCGUCGCGCACCUAUUUCCUUGCUCGUGUCGCAGAUCGAAGCUUUGCGCGUGUCGAGCUCCCUGACCGCCGCGCCGUGGAUUGUCCUGCGCGCGCGUGUCUCCUUGCUCACGCGUCGCCGUCGAGUUCCUUGUUGCGCGCUGAGUUUUCUGUCGUGCCCCUGGUUCCCGCGUGGAGCUCGUGAGCAUCUCCCUGUGCUCCUUUUGUCGCGACAGCUGUCGUGGCCGUAGGGCAGUCCGCACCAUAAGAGUUCACCCGACCGCAGUCUGUCCCCAGUCCACGCCAUAAAAAUCGCUCGGCCACGGUUCCGUCAAAUUGCGAAGCUCCCUGCCGUGCGCUUGCCAACUCGAAUUUCGCUAGCCGCCGUUCUCUAACCCGUGUGCCAGUCGGCGUCGUGGAGUUUUUGUUUGAUCAGCUCGUCGUCGCGUCGUUUGCCGUCGAGUCGUCAAACACGUCAUCCUCUGCUCAAACCCCACC
rnacentral:lncRNA from 1 species